rnacentral:sRNA from 1 species
GUUUAGCCCCGAUUGAAACGGCAUCCUUUUUUGUUUUUACAAAAAAGAUAUAGUGAAAAGCGGGAAAUAGC